CGCGUAGGUGGAACGGUAAGUGAGGGGUGAAAUCCCGAGGCUUAACUUCGGAAUGGCCUUUCAUACUGCCGGUCUCGAGUGCGAGAGGGGAAGAUGGAAUUCCUGGUGUAGCGGUGGAAUGCGUAGAUAUCAGGAAGAACACCGGUGGCGAAGGCGGUCUUCUGGCUCGUAACUGACACUGAGGCGCGAAAGCGUGGGGAGCAAACAGGAUUAGAUACCCUGGUAGUCCACGCCGUAAACUAUGAACACUAGGUGUUGGAGGCUUCGACCCCUUCAGUGCCGCAGCUAACGCGUUAAGUGUUCCGCCUGGGGAGUACGGUCGCAAGGCUGAA
rnacentral:rRNA from 1 species